AUUGGCCAUGGAUAGAUUCAGCUGGGGGUUGUGCCCCUUUGUACCUACUCAGCCCCCAGCCCCCAUUACAGAGGGGUGCUGCACUACCUGGGGGACAAAGGUGCAGGGCAAGCCAGUUCAGGACAUAGAGUCACCCCCACAGGUGGUAUUUGAAGCAGCUCAUUUCCAGAAACUUUCCUCCCAGGUCCAUGAGGGGCCUAGCAGGAGUCAGAGUUCAGUGAAUGACUGGCUGACGAGACAGGUAAGCCACUGGCUCCCCUUUGCAGCUGUCAUCACAUGUUGUAUGAUCCUUCAUCCAACAAGUAUCAGUGUCUCUCUCUUCUCUCUUUAGAAAUGGCUGAUGGUGCCCCUGAAUGUACAGAUUCAGCCCCAGAGUCCUUGCCCAGCCUAGUAACACACUCCUUGCCAUCUGACCUCACUUGCUGGCCUGGCUUCACUUCUUGCUGCACUCCUGCAUGAGUCCUGCCCUCCAGCCUUGCUGCCUGAGUAGAGUGAGCUCCCUCCUUCUUCAGAGAAAUCAUCGACCAUCCUAAACCCAGCCCCUGGAUUUGCUAGACAGCUACGGAUGAAAAUUGGGAGAAAUCUAUGCAGAGCAAGUGAGAAUGUCUGUUCUCAGAGAUCAAGGACUAUGUUGUUCUUUCCUGUUACUUUG
rnacentral:lncRNA from 1 species